UCUCCCCCCAGUGUUGACCGUGGGUGUGUCCCCAUCAGGGGAGGGGGGCAUCUCUGACAUGUACUGGUAGGUGCA
rnacentral:pre_miRNA from 1 species